GUUUCUCCCUGAAGAGCCAUUUUACCGGUCAUGUGACCGCAGUAGGAAAUAUUUUUUGUCGUUGUCAUUAUAUAUCUAAAAUCUCUUAAGUAUUCUAUAAGAGUAAGAAAUAAGUCAUUACAUUAAUAGUUUUAUUAAGGCUUCAUUAUUUACAUCUGUUAAAGAUUAGUUUAUAGGAAUUAUAUUGUAACCAGUUUACCGCUGG
rnacentral:lncRNA from 1 species